AUUGAACGCUGGCGGCAGGCCUAACACAUGCAAGUCGAACGGCAGCGGGGGAUAGCUUGUUAUCCUGCCGGCGAGUGGCGGACGGGUGAGUAAUGCAUGGGGAGCUGCCCAGUCGAGGGGGAUAACAACUGGAAACGGUUGCUAAUACCGCAUACGCCCUAAGGGGGAAAGGUGGGGAACUUCGGUCCUACCGCGAUUGGAUGCGCCCAUGUGGGAUUAGCUAGUUGGUGAGGUAACGGCUCACCAAGGCGACGAUCUCUAGCUGGUCUGAGGGGAUGACAGCCACACUGGAACUGAGACACGGUCCAGACUCCUACGGGAGGCAGCAGUGGGGAAUAUUGCACAAUGGGGGAAACCCUGAUGCAGCCAUGCCGCGUGUGUGAAGAAGGCCUUCGGGUUGUAAAGAACUUUCAGUCAGGAGGAAGGGGUGAUGGCUAAUAUCCAUCAUCAUUGACGUUACUGACAGAAGAAGCACCGGCUAACUCCGUGCCAGCCGCCGCAGUAA
rnacentral:rRNA from 1 species